UGGGGAAUAUUGCACAAUGGAGGGAACUCUGAUGCAGCGACGCCGCGUGAACGAAGAAUGCUUUCGAGUCGUAAAGUUCUUUUAUAUGGGAAGAUAAUGACGGUACCAUAAGAAAAAGCCCCGGCUAACUACGUGCCAGCAGCCGCGGUAAUACGUAGGGGGCUAGCGUUGUCCGGAAUCACUGGGCGUAAAGGGUUCGCAGGCGGAAAUGCAAGUCAGGUGUAAAAGGCAGUAGCUUAACUACUGUAAGCAUUUGAAACUGCAUAUCUUGAGAAGAGUAGAGGUAAGUGGAAUUUUUAGUGUAGCGGUGAAAUGCGUAGAUAUUAAAAAGAAUACCGGUGGCGAAGGCGACUUACUGGGCUCAUUCUGACGCUGAGGAACGAAAGCGUGGGUAGCAAACAGG
rnacentral:rRNA from 1 species